UACAGAGGUCCCAAGCGUUGUUCGGAUUCACUGGGCGUAAAGGGUGCGUAGGCGGUGGGGUGAGUUUGGGGUGAAAUCUCCGGGCCCAACCCGGAAAAUGCCUUGAAUACUAUCCUGCUUGAGGAUCGGAGGGGAGACUGGAAUUCUCGGUGUAGCAGUGAAAUGCGUAGAUAUCGAGAGGAACACCAGUGGCGAAGGCGGGUCUCUGGACGAUUCCUGACGCUGAGGCACGAGAGCCAGGGGAGCAAACGGG
rnacentral:rRNA from 1 species